rnacentral:rRNA from 1 species
CCUACGGGCGGCAGCAGUGGGGAAUAUUGGACAAUGGGGGCAACCCUGAUCCAGCCAUGCCGCGUGUGUGAAGAAGGCCCUCGGGUUGUAAAGCACUUUCAGUGAGGAAGAACGCCUGGUGGUUAAUACCCAUCAGGAAAGACAUCACUCACAGAAGAAGCACCGGCUAACUCCGUGCCAGCAGCCGCGGUAAUAAGGAGGGUGCGAGCGUUAAUCGGAAUUACUGGGCGUAAAGCGCGCGUAGGUGGCUUGAUAAGCCGGUUGUGAAAGCCCCGGGCUCAACCUGGGAACGGCAUCCGGAACUGUCAAGCUAGAGUGCAGGAGAGGAAGGUAGAAUUCCCGGUGUAGCGGUGAAAUGCGUAGAGAUCGGGAGGAAUACCAGUGGCGAAGGCGGCCUUCUGGACUGACACUGACACUGAGGUGCGAAAGCGUGGGUAGCAAACAGGAUUAGAUACCCGAGUAGUC